rnacentral:rRNA from 1 species
UAACCUGCCCAAGAGAUCGGGAUAACACCUGGAAACAGAUGCUAAUACCGGAUAACAACAGAUGAUGCCUAUCAACUGUUUAAAAGAUGGUUCUGCUAUCACUCUUGGAUGGACCUGCGGUGCAUUAGCUGGUUGGUAGGGUAACGGCCUACCAAGGCGAUGAUGCAUAGCCGAGUUGAGAGACUGAUCGGCCACAUUGGGACUGAGACACGGCCCAAACUCCUACGGGAGGCAGCAGAC